rnacentral:rRNA from 1 species
CCUACGGGAGGCAGCAGUGGGGAAUAUUGCACAAUGGGCGAAACCCUGAUGCAGCGACGCCGCGUGAGUGAAGAAGUAUUUCGGUAUGUAAAGCUCUAUCAGCAGGGAAGAAAAUGACGGUACCUGAUUCAGAAGCCCCGGCUAACUACGUGCCAGCAGCCGCGGUAAUACGUAGGGGGCAAGCGGUAGCCGGAUUUACUGGGUGUAAAGGGAGCGUAGACGGCAGUACAAGUCUGGAGUGAAAUGCCGGGGGUUAACCCCGGAACUGCUUUGGAAACUGUGCAGCGAGAGUGCAGGAGAGGUAAGUGGAAUUCCUAGUGUAGCGGUGAAAUGCGUAGAUAUUAGGAGGAACACCAGUGGCGAAGGCGACUUACUGGACUGUAACUGACGUUGAGGCUCGAAAGCGUGGGGAGCAAACAGGAUUAGAUACCCUUGUAGUC